rnacentral:rRNA from 1 species
UACGUAGGGUGCGAGCGUUAAUCGGAAUUACUGGGCGUAAAGCGUGCGCAGGCGGUUCGUUGUGUCGGCGGUGAAAGCCCCGGGCUUAACCUGGGAACGGCCGUUGAAACUGGCGAACUGGAGUGUGGCAGAGGGGGGUGGAAUUCCGCGUGUAGCAGUGAAAUGCGUAGAGAUGCGGAGGAACACCGAUGGCGAAGGCAGCCCCCCUGGGCUAACACUGACGCUCAGGCACGAAAGCGUGGGGAGCAAACAGG